GGGAUAAUACUGACGUUCAUGCUCGAAAGCGUGGGUAGCAAACAGGAUUAGAUACCCUGGUAGUCCACGCCNUAAACGAUGUCAAUUAGCUGUUGGGGCACUUGAUGCCUUAGUAGCGAAGCUAACGCGUGAAAUUGNCCGCCUGGGGAGUACGGUCGCAAGAUUAAAACUCAAAGGAAUUGACGGGGACCCGCACAAGCGGUGGAUGAUGUGGAUUAAUUCGAUGCAACGCGAAGAACCUUACCUGGUCUUGACAUGUACGGAAUCUUCCAGAGACGGAAGAGUGCCUUCGGGAGCCGUAACACAGGUGCUGCAUGGCUGUCGUCAGCUCGUGUCGUGAGAUGUUGGGUUAAGUCCCGCAACGAGCGCAACCCUUGUCAUUAGUUGCCACCAUUCAGUUGGGCACUCUAAUGAGACUGCCGGUGACAAACCGGAGGAAGGUGGGGAUGACGUCAAGUCCUCAUGGCCCUUAUGACCAGGGCUUCACACGUCAUACAAUGGUCGGUACAGAGGGUAGCCAAGCCGCGAGGUGGAGCCAAUCUCAGAAAACCGAUCGUAGUCCGGAUUGCACUCUGCAACUCGAGUGCAUGAAGUCGGAAUCGCUAGUAAUCGCAGGUCAGCAUACUGCGGUGAAUACGUUCCCGGGUCUUGUACACACCGCCCGUCACACCAUGGGAGUGGGGGAUACCAGA
rnacentral:rRNA from 1 species